GACGAACGCUGGCGGCGUGCUCAACACAUGCAAGUCGAACGGAAAGGCCUGCUUUCCCUUGUGGAUUGCGGGUACUCGAGUGGCGAACGGGUGAGUAACACGUGAGUGAUCUGCCCCCAACUUGGGUAUAAGCCUGGGAAACUGGGUCUAAUUCCCGAUAGGACUGCAGGGUGGUGCCUGUGGUGGAAAACGAUUUUCUAGUGGUUGGGGAUGAGCUCGCGGCCUAUCAGCUUGUUGGUGGGGUAAUGGCCUACCAAGGCGGCGACGGGUAGCCGGCCUGGGAGGGUGGACGGCCACAUUGGGACUGAGAUACGGCCCAGACUCCUACGGGAGGCAGCAGUGGGGAAUAUUGCACAAUGGGCGGAAGCCUGAUGCAGCGACGCCGCGUGGGGGAUGACGGCCUUCGGGUUGUAAACUCCUUUCGACCGCGAGGAAGCCACCUGGUUGGAAGGGUGGUGACGGUAGUGGUAGAAGAAGCACCGGCUAACUACGU
rnacentral:rRNA from 1 species